AUUGAACGCUGGCGGCAGGCUUAACACAUGCAAGUCGAGCGGGGGAAGGUAGCUUGCUACCGGGCCUAGCGGCGGACGGGUGAGUAAUGCUUAGGAAUCUGCCUAUUAGUGGGGGACAACAUCUCGUAAGGGAUGCUAAUACCGCAUACGUCCUACGGGAGAAAGCAGGGGAUCUUCGGACCUUGCGCUAAUAGAUGAGCCUAAGUCGGAUUAGCUAGUUGGUGGGGUAAAGGCCUACCAAGGCGACGAUCUGUAGCGGGUCUGAGAGGAUGAUCCGUCACACUGGGACUGAGACACGGCCCAGACUCCUACGGGAGGCAGCAGUGGGGAAUAUUGGACAAUGGGGGGAACCCUGAUCCAGCCAUGCCGCGUGUGUGAAGAAGGCCUUAUGGUUGUAAAGCACUUUAAGCGAGGAGGAGGCUACUUUAGUUAAUACCUAGAGAUAGUGGACGUUACUCGCAGAAUAAGCACCGGCUAACUCUGUGCCAGCCGCCGCAGUAA
rnacentral:rRNA from 1 species